GGAGCCACAUCUCAGUGGCAGAGCAUCUGUUUUGGAAGCAGAAGGUUUUAGGUCCAAUCCCUGGCAGAUCCA